AGAGUUUGAUCCUGGCUCAGGAUGAACGCUAGCGGCAGGCUUAAUACAUGCAAGUCGUGGGGCAGCAGGGCUGUAGCAAUACAGUCGCUGGCGACCGGCAAACGGGUGCGGAACACGUACACAACCUUCCUUCAAGCGGGGAGUAGCCCGGGGAAACCCGGAUUAAUACCCCGUAUUAUAAUGGAGUGGCAUCACUUUAUUAUUAAAGCUCCGGCGCUUGAAGAUGGGUGUGCGGCUGAUUAGGUAGUUGGCGGGGUAACGGCCCACCAAGCCUACGAUCAGUAACUGGUGUGAGAGCACGACCAGUCACACGGGCACUGAGACACGGGCCCGACUCCUACGGGAGGCAGCAGUAAGGAAUAUUGGUCAAUGGACGCAAGUCUGAACCAGCCAUGCCGCGUGGAGGAUGAAGGUCCUCUGGAUUGUAAACUUCUUUUAUCUGGGAAGAAACCCAUGGAUUCUUCUGUGGUUGACGGUACCAGAUGAAUAAGCACCGGCUAACUCCGUGCCAGCAGCGGCGGUAAUUC
rnacentral:rRNA from 1 species